AUACAUAGAUAGAUAGAUAGAUACAUACAUAGAUAGAUAGAUAGAUAGAUAGAUAGAUAGAUAGAUUUUACUUAUCCUCCUUUUUUAAAUAUAUUUUUUGCCUAGGUUAGGUGUUGUAAAAAAGCUAUUACAUUCUUUGAAGUUGCUGUUUAGUUAAUGAGUGACUGCGCUGGAUCAUGUAAGCUAUAUGUAUAUUUAAUAAGUAUCGUAUUUACUCGAAUCUAAUGCGCGCCUUUUUUGGAAAAUAAAGUUUCCAAAAUUUGAAUGUGCAUUAGAUUUG